ensembl:lncRNA
CUCAGAAGAAUUUAGAAAGACAAAUAUUAUAUUAUAUACAUAAAAUACUGUACAUCGUUAGACCAUUUGGAUAAUAUUAGGCAUUGGCUAAAUUGCAUAAUUUAUUAUGUAUUAGCACACAUAGAAUAAUUGAUCCAUGUUCUUUUAGUUUAUUUCUGCAAGACUAGAAAAUAUCCACAAUCCAUUCGAUGCAGGCCAUCUCCUGAAGUGUGAUGUCUAUAAUUAAAUCUUAGAGUUAAAGUUCAUGAUAUUGCAGUGAUGUUUUAAAAUUGAUUUAAGAAAAUAUAGAAAUGAAUAUAAGGAGUCCAAGCAACACAGAGACAACACCCAUUCGGAUACUGGUGGCAUCACUAGUCGUUGAGGCAGUCGUGAAUGAUGCUGCAGAUGUUGCCAGGGUUGUAGUUGUAGUUGGCGCUGCGGUUGUUGUUGGGGGUGGGGUUAAAGUUGCCGUUAAGAAUUUAGUUGUUAAUGGGGCAUUAGUAGUAGUUGCAGUUGUUGUUGAGGGAGAAGUUUUUGUCUGGGCAGCAGUUAUUGGGGAUGCAGCAGUUGUGGAUGGGGCUGAAGUCUUUGUCGGGGAUAAAGAUGUUGUCAAGACAGCAAUUGUUGGCGGGUUUGCAGUUGUUGUCAAGGCAUAAGUUGUAGUCGGGGCUGUAGUUGUUGUCGUGCCAGCAGUUGUAGGUGGUGCUGUAGUUGUUUUUGGGGUGGCAGUUGUCGUCUGGGAAGCAGUUGUAGUUGGUGCAGCAGUUGUUGUCGGGGCUGCAGUUGUAGUUGGUGCAGCAGUUGUUGUUGGGGCUGCUGCUGUAGUUGGUGCAGCAGUGGUUGUUGGGGCUGCAGUUCUUGUUGGGGCUGCAGUUGUAGUUGGUGCAGCAGUUGUUGUUGUUGGUGCUGCAGUUGUAGUUGGCGCUGCAGUUGUAGUUGGUGCAGCAGUUGUUGUGGGUGCUACAGUUGUUGUUGGGGCUGCUGUUGUAGUUGGUGCAGUAGUUGUUGUCGGGGCUACAGAUGUAGUUGGUGCAGCAGUUGUUGUUGGUGCUGUAGUUGUAGUUGGUGCAGCAGUUGAAGUUGGCACUGCAGUUGUAGUUGGUGCAGCAGUUGAAGUUGGCGCUGCAGUUGUAGUUGGGUCUGCAGUUGUUUUCUGGCUUGCAGUUGUAGUUGGUGGAGGAGUUGUUUGGGAUGCAGUUGUUGUCGGUGCCACAGAUGUAGUUGGGGCCGCAGUGGUUGUUGGGGCUCCAAUUGUUGUUGUUGGGGCUGUAGUUGUAGUUGGUGCAGCAAUCGUUAUCGGAGCUGCAGUUGUAGUUAUGGGUGCUGUUGUAGUUGGUGCUGCAGUUGUUGUUUGUGCUGCAGUUGUUGUCGGGGCUGCUGUUGUAGUUGAUGCAGCAGUGGUUGUUAGGGCUUCAGUUGUUGUCGGUCCAGCUGUUGUUGGGACUGCGGUUGUAGUUGGUGCUGUAGUUGUAGUUGGCGCUGCAGUUGUAGUUGGUGCAGCAGUUGUUGGUAUUGCAGUUGUUGUUUGGGCUGUAGUUUUAGUUGGCACUGCACUUGUAGUUGAUGCAUCAGUUGUUGGUGCUGCAGUUGUCGGGGCUACAGAUGUUGUUGGUGCAGCAGUUGUUGGUGCUGCAAUUGUUGUUGGAACUGCAGUUGUAGUUGGUGCAGCAGUGGUAGUUUGGGCUGUAGUUGUAAUUGGCGCUGCUGUUGUAGUUGGUGCAGUAGUUGUUGUCGGGGCUACAGAUGUAGUUAGUGCAGCAGUGGUUGUUGGUGCUGUAGUUGUAGUUGGUGCAGCAGUUGAAGUUGGGGCUGUAGUUGUAGUUGGCACUACAGUUGUUGUUGGUGCUGCAGUUGUUGUUUGGGCCAUAGUUUUAGUUGGAGCUGCAGUUGUAUAUGGUGCUGCAGUUGUUAUUUGUGCUGCAGUUGUUGUCUGGGCCACAGAUGUAGUUGGUGCAGCAGUUGUUGUUGGUGCUUUAGUUGUUGUUGGGACUGCAGUUGUAGUUGGUGCAGCAGUUAAUAUCGGAGCUGCAGUUGUAGUUAUGGCUGCUUUUGUAGUUGGUGCUGCGGUUGUUGUUUGUGCUGCAGUUGUUGUCGGGGCUGCUGUUGUAGUUGGUGCAGCAGUGGUUGUAUGGGCUGCAGUUGUUGUCGGUCCAGCUGUUGUUGGGGCUGCAGUUGUAGUUGGUGCAGGGGUUGUUGUCGGCGCUGCCGUUGUAGUAGUUGCAGCUGCAGUAGUUUUUGCAGCAGAUGUUGUAGUUGGUGCAGCAGUUGUUGUUGGGGCUGCUGUUGUAGUCGUUGCAGCAGUUGUUGUUAGGGCUGCAGUUGUAGUUGGUGCAGCAGUUGUUGUUGGGGCUGCAGUUGUAGUUGGUGCAGCAGUUGUUGUUGGGGCUGCUGUUGUAGUUGGUGCAGCAGUUGUUGUUGGGGCUGCAGUUGUAGUUGGUGCAGCAGUUGUUGUUGGGGCUGCAGUUGUAGUUGGUGCAGCAGUUGUUGUUGGGGCUGCUGUUGUAGUUGGUGCAGCAGUUGUUGUUGGGGCUGCUGUUGUAGUUGGUGCAGCCGUUGUUGUUGGGGCUGCUGUUGUAGUUGGUGCAGCAAUUGUAGUUGGGGCUGCUGUUGUUGUUGGGACUGCAGUUGUAUUUGGUGCAGGGGUUGUUUUCGGCGCUGCAGUUGUAGUCGUUGCAGCAGUUGUUAGGGCUGCAGUUGUAGUUGGUGCAGCAGUUGUUAGGGCUGCUGUUGUAGUUGGUGCAGCAGUUGUUGUUGGGGCUGCUGUUGUAGUUGGUGCAGCAGUUGUUGUUGGGGCUGCUGUUGUAGUU